rnacentral:lncRNA from 1 species
UUCAAAGCAGAAAAAUCGGCGAAUAGAUUAAUGCGGAGAUCUUUAUAUUCUUGCAGUUACACGCUACUUCCAAGCAUUGAAAUGUUCUCCAUAAUCUUAAUUUAGACCGAGGCUUUCUUAUACAUUGAUGGAUAACUAGAGAUAAAGAGGUUUGCGAUUCAUAUGAUCCGCUAUUAUGCGUCUCUAAGCCUUGCCAGGACAUUUUAUUCUUUAUAACUUGGCUGUGAGCUUCCAUCGUCAUUCAAGUCAAGGAUGUCCUGCAACAAACAUCAUGUUAAAGGAAAUAUGUUUAUAUUACCAUUUUUAGAAAUUCAUCCUACAUUAAUACACAAAAGAAACAUUUAGGUACACUCAUAGUGUAAUUUUUAUCCACCUAAGUGAAUCACCACAUAUGCCUAAUGUUAUGAAUUUCCUCAUUUUGAUAUAACUUCUCAUGUGGUUAUUGAUUUGAGAGGACAAGAAUGUCAUCUUUCGAUAGCAACUAUAAAUAUCUCUCGACAUACUCAUUUUGAAAGGAAGAAAGUACUCACUACAUCCUGGGCCCGUAUGUGGGAAAUCUGGAUUGGCAGCACCUACAACAUCCAUAAUUUGCUAAAUUUUACUUAAAUCUAUUCACAAACUCGUCAAUGCUAUUAAAGUGCCAAUUACCAAAUCAGCCUUGGCGAUUUGAUAUUUCAAAAAAGUGAAACAUAAUUCAAAUCACAAUGAUUCAGAUAUUUAGAUUCGAGCAGAAAUAACUAAAGAACUGAACUCACAUAUACAUGAUACACUGCAUAAAUCGUACAACUAGUGUUAAACUACGCAUCUAUCUAUGACUUUUAUGUAUAUCCAAGGGAACGUGCUGAGAAGUAAGAAGAAAAAACUAGAGAGGAAGGCUGACCACCGCAUAUGGGGCGACGCCGGGAGCCUCAAUUUGACUAAUAAUAACUACCGAACUGAAUUCAUACAUAAUAAACAACAAAAAAUUGCACCACUCAGGUUCGACUCCACAUCUAUGACGUUAUAUAUAUCAAAGGGAAUAAGCUUAGAAGUAAGAAGAAAUACUAGAGAGGAAGACUGACCCCGCACGGGCCAGGAUGUAAGGGCGUGAGCAAGUGAAGGGUCAUGAAAAUCAAGAGGAAGCACAAAAUUCUGAUAAGAGAGGAGGAGGGAGAAGAAAGCAGUUUUGCCAUUGCUUUUGAGUUCUUUCAAGCGCUUUCCUUUUUUUUUUUCCAUGUAUGUAUAUAUAAGCCCCACAAGAAUCAUUAGUCAUAACAUUAGAUGGACAACAACAACAUCGUACUUUAAUUACUUGGGACGCAGCACCCAUGACUCUGGCCCCUGGCUUUUGAACAGGUCAAUCAGUAAAUGCGUAAGAGACGUGCUUAAUGAGUGAAUCUCCCCAAGUCCUCUCACACCAAUUUCAUCCCGUUCAAACUCGGGAUAUGUCAAAAAAGUGAAACAUAAUUCAAAUCGCAACUAUUCAGAUAUAUGGAUCCGAGUAUGAAUAACAACCGAACUGAACAAAAAAGUGAAACAUAAUUCAAAUCGCAACUAUUCAGAUAUAUGGAUCCGAGUAUGAAUAACAACCGAACUGAACUCACAUAUACGUAAUACACAGCAUAAAUACAACUAAUGUUUGACUUCACACCUGUCGAUGACUUCUAUGUAUAUCCAAAGGAACGAGCUUAGGAGUAAGAAGAAAUAACUAGAGAGGAAGACUGACCCCUGCAUAUGGGGCGACUUUCUUCUCUCCCUGUAGCUCGUGCGAGCAAGUGAAGGGUCAUGAAAAUCAAGAGAAAGCACAACAUUCUGAUAAGAGAGGAGGAGGAGAAGGAGGAGGAGAAGGAGGGAGAAAGCAGUUUUGCCAUUGCUUUGAGUUAUUUCGAGCUCUUUCCUAUUUUUGCAUGUCUAUGUAUAUAUAAGCACUACAAGAAUCAUUACUCAUAACGUUGUGUGAACAACAACGUCGCACUUAAUUACUUGGGAUGCAACACCCGUGACUCUGGGUCUCUCUGGCUUUUGAACAAGUCAACAGCUAAAUGCGUCGGAGACGAGCUGAAAGAGUGAACCCCGCCAAGUGCUCUCACGUCAAUCUCAUCCCGUUCAACCUCGGGCCACGUUCACAAAGCACUCCCAAAACACUAUUAAUUUGAUCUUAUAUAACAAAAGAACGUCCUUUUUUUCUUCUUUUUUUCCAAAAUAUUGAUUAUAUAUAUCAUAGAAGAAAAGAAGAAGCCGAGAUCUAGGGAUAUUAAAAUAAAAAAAAUAAACCGUUCAAACUGAAAAUUUCGAGUUGGAUUUACUUACGUUUUGGGUAACAAGUAAAACAAUGGAUUUUUGAUGGUUCGGUUCGCUCAUAAAAUCAACUCUAAACACUUAAUUAAACGAAAGAGUGAUGGUGCAAUUUGCACCACGUAUUUUGCCGAGGACUUUGGAUGACUUGCUUGUCCGGUCCAUAGGAUAUCAAGAAAGAUCCCCCUCAGUGAAAAAGACAUUGGCUACUAGAGGUCGCCACAUCUGACUUUUGCUAUUACUCUGUACUACUUUGCUCUGCUCCCGCUACUCUAUUUCAAUUUCUUCUCUCAAUGGAAAUGAAAGAAAUAAAUGAACGAAGCAUAGAAAACAUAAAACAUAAAAUCUCAAGUUGGUCUCAACUUUAGAGUACCAAAUGAAACUAUUCUUACUGAUGAAGAAGAAGAAAUAAACUCCCCCCACCUUUUUUUAUUUAUUUCAAUCACGCCAAUGAACUCAGAAAAGAAAAAAAAAACACAGCUUCUUCCCUUCUUGAUCUCCUAACUCAGAAAUUGUAUUCAAAUAGACUUGUAUGAUCUCAUAAUUUACAUAAAGAAAGAUAAAUCAUAUGUAUUUCCCUUGGCUUGAAUAGCUCGACAAAAAAUUAGAAAAGGAUAGCAAAAAUGAAUGGAAGAAAAUGAACGCUAGCCAAUAAUUUCCUUGAGCUGAGAGAGAGAGAGAGAGAGAGAGAGAGAGAGAGAGAGAGAGAGAGAGAGAGAGAGAGAGAUAAACACAUAAUUAAUUGAAAGGGUGGCGGUGCAAUCUACACCACAUAUUUUGUCGAAGACCUUGGAUGACUUGCUUGUUUGGUCUAGUAGGAUAUCAAGAAGGACCCCUCAAUGAAAAAGAUAUUGGCUACUUGAGGCCGCCACUUCUGACUUUUGCAAUUACUCUACACUCCUUUGCUAUGCUCUCGCUACUCUCUUUCAAUUUCUUCUCUCAAUGGAAAUGAAAGAAAUAAAUGAACAAAGCACAUAAAACAUAAUAGCUCGACAAAAAAUCAGAAAAGAAUAGCAAAAAUUAAUGGAAGAAAACAAACGCUAGCCAGUAAUUUCCUCAAGCCGAGAGAGAGAGAGAGAGAGAGAGAGAGAGAGAGAGAGAGAGAGAGAGAGAGAGAGAAUUAUAUGAAAGAGUGACGGUGCAAUUUGCACCACAUAUUUUAUCGAAAACCCUGGAUGACUUGCUCGUCUGGUCCAGUAGGAUAUCAAGAAGGAUCCCUCUCGGUGAAAAAGACAUUGUCUACUUGAGACCACCACAUCUGACUUUUGCUAUUACUUUGCACUAAUCUGCUAUGCUCUGCUCUCGCUUCUCUCUUUCAAUUUCUUCUCUCGAUGGAAAUGAAAGAAAUAAAUGAACGAAUCACAGAAAACAUAAAACAAAAUAUCUCAAGUUGGUCAUAACUUCAGAGUGUCAAAUGAAACUAUUCUUAUUGACGAAGAAGAAGAAAUAAAUUCCCCCCACCCUUUUGAUUUCAAUUGCGCCAACGAACUCAGAAAAGACAAAAAAACACAACUUCUUCCCUUCUCAAUCUCCCAACUUUGAAAUUGUAUUCUAAUAGACUUGUAUGAUCUCAUAAUUUACAUAAAGAAAGAAAAAUCUAUGUAUUUUUCUUGGCUUGAGUAGCUUGACAAAAAAUCAGAAAAGAAUAGUAAAAAUUAAUGGAAGAAAACAAAUGCUAGCCAAGAAUAGUAAAAAUUAAUGGAAGAAAACAAAUGCUAGCCAAUAAUUUGCUUGAGCCGAGAGAGAGAGAGAGAGAGAGAGAGAGAGAGAGAGAGAGAGAGUCCUUGGGGAGGCAAUAACUUGUGCUCCAUGAUUCCAUGUUUGCUCUAUACCUUUAAGGUUUCGUUCGUUUCAAGAAAAAUAUAGCGUUUUUGCAAAAUGUUCUUUAGAAAGUCAUUUUAAAGUAAUCAUAUUUUCUGUUGUUCGGUUAAAACUUGAAAAAUGAACUGUAAAUUAUUUUUUGGUAUUCAGUAAGGAAAAUCUUUUCCUCCAUGCAUAUGGGCGACUCCAUGGGCCUCGUGCGAGCAGGUGACCUGAAACACAUAACUGAAUAUGCUUCGAAACCAAAAUAAUCGGAGUAAAAUGCUAAACACGUUGACGAACAUAGAAAAAGGAACCACAACUUUCUUGCCGGCUUGUCCAAUUUUCGACCCUCCAUCUGCGGUCGUCUCCAUUGUCGCCUUUGAUCCCGUCGUCUCCAUCGUGGCCUUCAAUCCCGUUGGAUAUGCCGGUGUCGUGGCCUCUACCGUCAUCCUCACCGCCUCUGUUGUAGCUGAUGUAAUAUGAGCGCGGAAUCUAACCGGAACUCAGGUCUCGCCGGCUUCUUCCUGUUCUUUGUGCGGGGGUGACAUACUUCACCGAAAGGAGAAUUCGAUCCGGGUAGGGAAUGAACGAGGCUAGCCAAAGUAUACUUUUAUGCCCGCAAUACAGUUUGGGGAGAUGGGAUAGUGACUCUUGCCGUGGCUAAGGAAUAACAUCCUAUCUGAUUUCAGGGGCAGCUAUAUUUGCUCAAAUAGAGUGUGAGAAGUGCAAUAAGAUGAGCCACUCUAACUCAAGUCAGCCAGCCAUGGCGUAAUUGCACGUGAGAAAGUGAUAUCUGUGAUUCGUGACUCCAUAUAUAAAUCGACCUCGGUCGAAUUGGCGUACUAUCGCACAUCUCUUAUGAAUGAUUUUCAUCGUCACAUAAAAAUUAUUCUUGAAGAAAAGACGUAAAAGAAAGAGCCCUCAUAUGGGAGGUGUAAUUUCUGCUCAUGUAGUCCUUUUAGUUUUUAACGUUAUGAGUAGGGGCUCCAGGAGAAUGACUGCCAUCAGCAGGUGUAUAGCCACUCGGAGCUGUAGGGCCACGAUGAAAACCUUCCUGUCCUUGUGCUGCAACAAUCCAUGCCACGGCGCAAGUCGAGAAACAGAGAGAGAACUUGCCGGAGUAGGGCAAGACCGGAACCCACGGAUCAGCAGAGCUUCGAGGGAGGGAGCCGAAGGUCAUGAUCAACAUGGAACAACAGAUGAGGGUGACGAUACGGGAAGAGGAGGAACGAGCCUUGCUCAUUGCCAUCCUUCAAGUUUUGACCUUGUUAUGGACUUCUGGGAUGCGAGAUGGUAAAGUACUAGUUGCAAUUUAUAAUGACAGAUGAGAUUGCCAAAUGAGAUUUAUUCCUUAUUUGAGUGGGGCACGAGUUUGACGAAGAAGCUAGGUGGGUUAAAUACCGACUCACUAUAUAGUGAAUUGAUUACAACAUUGACCCAUGCUCGUGCUGUUUUUUUUUUUGGCUCUCCUUUAAGAUGCCAUUUGUUUCAUGAAAAAUAAGUUAUUUGGAAAAUAUUUUUCUAAAAAUUAUCGCUUAUAUUGUUUACAAACAUAAAUAAACGAAGAAUAUUUUCAUUGUUUACGAAAAUAUCGAGACAUAAAUUGUUAUCGGUAAUAAAGUCAUUUUUCAUCGAUAUUAGUUGAAGGAUGAGAUUGCCAAAUGAGAUUUAUUCCUUAUUUGAGUGGGGCACGAGUUUGACGAAGAAACUAGGUGAGUUAGAUACCGACCCACUAUAUAGUGAAUUGAUUACGACAUUGACCCAUGCUCGUGCUGGUUUUUUUUUUACUGUUUAGCAUUCUUUUUCGGCUCUCUUUUAAGAUGCCAUUUGUUUCAUGAAAAAUAAGUUAUUUGGAAAAUAUUUUUCUAAAAAUUAUCGCUUAUAUUGUUUACAAACAUAAAUAAACGAAGAAUACUUUCAUUGUUUAUGAAAAUAUCAAGACAUAAAUUGUUAUCGGUAAUAAAGUCAUUUUUCAUAGAUUAAUAUUAUCAGUUGAAUCAAAUCCAUGUACUCUAGCUAGAAUUGAUCUUGGCAUCCACUGCAUACUAGAAGGUAAACAUAAUUCAAUUAAGGUAAUCCUGAUGAAUUGAAUGAUGUGGUCUCCUCUCUCUCUCUCUCUCUCUCUUUUUUUAGACACUUGCGCUUCGAUUUCAAUUCCAAUUUUAAUAGUUUGUAAUUAUAAUAUAAGUCGAUCAUGAGAGUAAAAUAAAAGAAAGUAUAAUAACUUAUAUAAUCUAUCGAGAUCUCAUAAAUAAUCAAACACAUAAAAAUGAUAGCUGAUUAAAGACUAUUCUCUCCGUAUCCUCAACACCAUUCCUCUAACUUCCACUUCUCCUCAGAAAUAUGAUAUAAUACCAAUUUUCAAAACUCUAUCUCCAUAAUUAAAAUCCCAAUAGUCAUCCAAUAACUUCUUUCUAUCCAUUAACAGAAAAAGAUGAGAUUUGUAUAAUGCUUAAUCCAUCUGCCGUCGUCUCCACGUCGCCUUUGAUCUCGUCGAAUAUGCCGUCGUCUCCAUCGUUGCCUUCAAUCCCGUUGGAUUUGCCGGUGUCGUGGCCUCUACCGUCAUCCUCACUGCCUCUGUUGUAGCUGAUGUAAUAUGAACGCGGAAGCUAACCGGCACGCACGUCUCGCCGGCUUCUUCUUGUUCUUCGUGCGGGGGCUCCUAAAGGAGAGCUGCUGUGGGGUUGGUUAGCCGCGCGUGUGAAGAAAAAGAAAGCCAUCAGAGAAAAAUAAAAUUUAUUUCAAGACCACUUCUCACCGCCGCAAUUAAAUUCAGAUUGGUUUAUUUCAAUGAAAUCUUCAUGAUAGAGAAAAUUAUUUUCUUGAAAAUUAUUUUGAAGAAAAAUGGUUAGUUUCUAUUAUUUGAUGGUAUAUAGAAAGUAAUUUCCUUCUUGCCAAAAUGGGAAGUUGUUUUCGCCCAUAUCGAACUGACUGUCGAGCAAAGGAGGGAAUAUUCUCGGCGAACGGUGACAUACUUCACCAAAAGGAGAAUUCGAUCUGGGUAGGGAAUGAACGGGGCUAGCCAAAGUAUAUUUUUUAUGCCCGCAAUACAGUUUGAGGAGAUGGGAUAGUGACUCUCGCCAUGGCUAAGGAAUAACAUCCUCUUUGAUUUCGGGGACAUAGCUAUAUUUGCUCAAAUAGAGUGUGAGAAGUGCAAUAAGAUGAGCCACUCUAACUCAAGCCAACCAGCCAUGGCAUAAUUGCACGUAAGAAAGCAAUAUUUAUGAUUAACGACUACGUAUAUAAAUUGACCUCGGUCGAAUUGGCAUGCUACAACACGUUUCUUAUGAAUGAUUUUCAUCGUCAUGUAAAAAUUAUUCUUGAAGAAAAGACGUAAAAGAAAGAGCCCUCAUAUGGGAGGUGUGACAUUCUGAUUUUCAACCUUGUUUUCAACUAAAUGAAAUGGGUUUUUUAUCGACGCGCCUAUAGUCUUUUUCUCUGAGUUGAUCACUUACGAGAUAACUAAUCCAUCGGGUGAAGCUGUUAAGGAAUAUAAACGCGACUAAUUUGAGAAUUCGAUCAGAAAUCGAUUGCUCAACCGUGCUAAUCUGCAAGGGUCAAUACGGCACCGAUAAAAUCGAUUAGAGAUCGGUGAUAGGUCGAUUCAACAUAGGCAUGUGAUUAAAGUGUGGGUGAUUCUACCUGAUUUCAAAAUGUUUGUAGAACGGUACUAAACCAAUUUUUCUGUCGUUUCUGUACCCUGUGCCCGUAAUUGAAACCUUGAGAUUUUCACGACAAUUGAGAGUUGCCUAUGGGUUAAAGAUGCACAAUGUGGAUCGAAAAUAAUUGACCAUGGAUCAAAUGCACUAAAAAUUCAUAAAAGCUACUCCGUAGGUUAGGUCACGCUAAAAUCGCGUCCGGUUGAAAUUAACCAUGAAAUUGAACCCGGUUUCAGGAAUCGAAAGUUCUGGUAUGUCAUGAUUUAUUUUAGGAAUAUCAACUCAUCUUUUGAAGAAUUUUCGGCAAGCCCGGAUUUUCGGUGAAAAAUCAAAAUUGGACGAUUUUGGACCAAGAAAUUCGGAGGGCCAUGUUUGGGUGCAAUUUUGGCCUCCAAGUUGGAUCAAAUGGUGAUGGGAAUGCAAGAAUUUGGUGUGGGCUCCUACCUUGGCAUUGUAGCCAUUUAAUUGAAGUCAAUUGGAAUGAAAUUGAAUUGAAUUGAAGGUGAAAUGGUUGAAAUUCGUAGGCCAUGGGGGGCUGCAACAUUUCGGCAUCAUCCUUGGCUUCUUGGAGAAGAUUGGGAGGGGAAAUGGCUGCUGGGUUGCGGCUGAAGGUUGGUGGGGGCUACACUCAAGUGUUUGUGAUAUUUUGGCUUGACUUAGUGACUUCUUGUCCCCCUCAAGCCAGCAGCAGACUAUCUUCUUCUUCCUCAGCUUCUUCUUCCAUUUCUCUAGCUGCAAAUCUCCAUUUCCAGAGCAAGAAAACUAGCCAAGCCAGUUGCCCAAGCCAGCUGCUCGCCUGCCAGCCCACCGUGUCGCCACAUGCUUGCCGAUCACCGCAAGCCAACUCCCUCGUGUCCGUGUUUCCAGCCCACGUUGCGCAUCGCUCGUGCUUAGUUCGCGCCCUUAGCCACUCGUCGCCGUCCACCUGCCGCCCGCCGUCGUCGCAGCUUCACCCGAUCAGGUUGCCGUCUACCAUCGCUGCUUCCGCUUGCCUGCCUGGCCCCGCCGUGCCGUUCCUACGCCAUCCUUACCCCUCGAUCCAGCUCCUUCAGCUAGCGUCCAAAACUGAAAGUCUAGCUCUAGCAGUGAGUUGUUAGACCAUUUUCAGCUCGGUCCAAGCCUCAUUGCGCGUCGCCAUAGGCCCGGCCCGAGUCUCGCUCGCCUCAGCGUUGUCGUUGCCGUGAACUCAUCGGCUCGCUAAUCUGGUGAGUUUACUUGCUAAAGGAGGUUAAUUAUGCUUAUGAGAGGUUUAGAUUAGUCUAAGUGAGAUUAGUGUAUUUAUUUAGCUUGGUUAGUUAAUUAGAUUAAUUAGAUAGGUUAAUUAGGUGGUUAGUUAGUUCAAUUAAGUAGUUUAAUUAGAUUAGAUGUAGCUAGGUUGGUUACAUUGAUUUAAUUAGUUCAAUUAGGUGGUUAGAUUAGCUUAGGUAGAUUAAUUAGUGGUUUUAUUUAAUUAUUUUGUAACUUAUUUAAUUAUUUAUUUAUUUUCAAAAAUUACAUUGGGAUAGCUUGUUGUCAGAAUUUUGUGCUGAUUGUCGUUGUAUGAUUAGUUUGUGCAAUUGAUUGUUAAAUUGUGCAAUUGAAUGAUGAUUGUUGAUUUUGAGUUAUUAUUCCAAAAUUAUGGAUUUUUGGUAUUAAUUAGAAAAAUACCGGGUGUGGUUUUUGACGCCAAAAAUGUUUUUAAAUACUAUAUCAAAUCGUGGGAUUUUUAAAUGGGAGAAUAUUACUUUUUAUGGUUAAAUCUGACCGUGUGCCCACACACUAUUAUUUUACCAGGUGUUUUUAAUUUGAAGAAAAUAGGCCAAGUACAUUAUUUAAAUUGAGAUAUUUGAGUACAAAGUACGAUAUCCUUGAUUGGGAUUGGAUAUGCAUGGAAUCGUUAUUGGAACCCGUCACGAGCUUUUAUGCUGGACAAUGCUCCUUCGGGAAUGUCCCACGUCAACGGAUGCUGGUCGCAAUGGAGACUGGGUCGAUGCUCCUUUGGGAAUGCCGUAUAGAUAUAGACGUUGCCAUGCUCGAUGGUGCGAGACAAUGCCCGGCUAUGCCAGAAGACCGCUGACUAUUGAGUCGGCCGUGGCCAUUGGAUCGUAACUACUUGGAACGCUUGAAUGAGUGAUUUGACCGCGCCUGAUUAUGGGACAAAAUUGUAUGGCAUGGAAUGGGACGUGUCAUAAUGAUUUGGCCUUAUAAUCGGGACCCAUGUAUUUGAUUGAUUUGAAAGUGAGGCGUUCCAAUUAUUGAGUGCAUUUACUGCAUAUAUCUGUUAUAUGAGCUUUACUAACGUGUUGGAAGGUGCAGAGGCGAGGUAAGUCUCAUAUGAUAUGUAAUUAGGCUGCCUCUAGGCGUAUUAACUUCCUAAUUGGGGUUUAGGGCGUGAACUCGCUGAGACAUUGUCUCACCUCGUCGUGGUUUACAAUUUUUACAGGUCCCUAGAUGGAAGUUCGUCCGGUUCGUUUUGGGCAGCCGCAGGAGUAUAGCGAGUAAAAUACCGUCUUCCUUGUCCUUGGGAAUCCUUGGACUCGUGAGCUCGUCGUGACCACGAUAUUGGUUGAUGAGGGCCUACUUCAGUUGGUAUCUCAUCGAUUUAAGGCGUGAUUUCGUCACGGGUCUAACGGGGAACGGGAAGGUCCUGUGGAUGGUUUCGACGGACCCGCCAUCGAGGGUGAGGGUGAGGAGGUACUCGACCCUAUCGUGCACGCCGAUAUUAUUGCAAAUAUCGAGGUGAACCAAUUGCCUGAGGAUGAGCAGGAGCCCGAAGUUGAGGAAGUAGCUGACCCGCUAGACAUCGACAUUCCUGACGGUGUCGUAGUGGACCCAGAUCCCAAGUAGGAGGGUUCGGGGUAGGGUUAGCUAGGUAGUCCUUUUUGGGGCCUUGACUUUUGUAUAUAAUUUUGCAGGCUGACCUGGAUGCUUAUAAAAGUGUGGUUUGUUUUAUAUGGUUGUCAUGCUUUUCUAUCCCAUGUUGAUUGUUGUUUGGGGAUUGUUUAUUUGCUUCCGCAUGUGCAUGAAUCGUUUGGGACAGCGACUUGUCCUGAGAACGUCGCAAUUUGAUCGACUAUCGAGGGAUGUGCGCGCGCUCGAGAUUCAAGGCGUGAUAGGAGGUGUAAUUUCUGCUUAUAUAGUCUUUUUAAUUUUUAACAUUAUGAGUAGGGGGCUCGAGGAGAAUGACUGCCAUCCAUAGGUAUAUAGCCACUCGCAUGUGUAUCACCACGAUGAAAAUCUUUCUGUCCUUGUGCUGCAACAAUCCAUGCCUCGGCGCAAGUCGAGAAACAGGGAGAGAACUUGCUGGAGUAGGGCAAGAUCGGAACCCAUGGAACGGCCAGUGAAAGAAAAGAUAAUAAAAAGGAAAAAGAAAAAUUUGCAAAAUUAUGGAAAAAAUUGUAAAAAUUACUCACGUCAGCGCAACCGUUAGCGCUGGCCACUUCACAUAAGUGGUCAAUAGUUGGAUUUCUAGCUGGCCACUUCACAUAAAUGGUCAGUAGUUGGAUCUCUAUAUUAAUGAUUUCUAACCGAAAUUAGAUGAAAAGAUUAUACUGAAAAAUCGUUAAAAGAUUUAUGAUUAAACUUUUUUGAUCUUCCCAUGAACUCAGCACACACGACGAUACGUUGAUGGGGAAGAUCAAACAAGUUUAUUAUUUUAUUGAAAUUCAAGCAAACUCAAACAUAACCAUCAAAGAUGGUUGCGGAGUACUAGGACCAUUAUAUUUAUGCUUUAUCUUUUUGUUUUCUUUUUCUUUGAUCCUCGUGUAAUGGGCAAUAUGCAUGUAUGAAAUCCGUAUUGCGAUCGUGAAAAAUUAAAAUUUUAGAUAAGAUGACACAUGUCACGAGAUUAGUAAUGUGUCAUCAGAUUAGUAAUCUUUAAAUGUUGGUUCCAUCCAUCUGUAGUAAACUAAAAGAAUAUCCUUAAUAUAUAUUUCAAAGUAAAUUAAUGGAGCGAAGACCACAUAAUUGAGAUCGAGAAAUAAGACUAUCAACUCAUUAAAGGAUUCAAGAGAAUCUGUUUUAGAACUUCAAAGCAGAAAAUCCAUGCGUAGAAUUCCCGCAUUACUCGCUAAUUCCUAGCAUUGAAAUACUCUUGCGUAAUCUAACUUGCACAGAGGCUUUCAAAUACAUAGAAAAUCCAUGCAUAAAUUCUUAAUUCUUACAUUACAGGGUACUUGCUAGAAUCGAAAUAUUCCCCGUAAUUUUAACUUAGACAGAGGCUUUCAAAUACAUUAAAUAGAAAAAGCAGGAAAGUGCUUUGCAAAGUAGAUGGUCCGCCAUCAUCUGUCUCUGAUCAUUGCGAAGACCAUUCGUUCUUUAUCAAGUGGCUGUGAGCUUCAAUCAUUCAAGUCAGUGACGUUCUGCGAUAAACAUUACGAUAAAGAAAAGAUAUUUAGAUUAGCAUUUUUAAAAAUUCACAGCACACUAAUACACAUUAGAAACAUUUAGGUAUUCUUGUAGCGUAAUUUUUAUUAAUCUAGCCAAGCCAAUCAUCAUAUAUGCCUCAUGUUAUGAAUUUCCUUAUGUUGAAAAGAUGACACCUUCUCAUGUGGCACUUGGGUGGCAGAUGAGAAUAUUGUCUUUUGAGAGCACCUACAAAUAUAUCUUGAUAUACUCGUUUUAAAGAAAGAAAGUACUCACUCGGAUGAGGGCCAGGGCCUCCGGGGUUCCCUCCCGCUCCACCUACAACAACCAUCAUUCACUUAAUUUUACUUAGACUCAUCCACAAACUCGUUAUGCUACCAAAAAUACCAGUUGCCAAAUCGCCUUUUAUGAUUCAGUAUUUCGAAAGAGUGAAACAUACCUCAAAUGACAACAAUUCAGAUAUCUCAAUUCCAUCAAGAACAAACUACCGAGCUAAACUCACGUAUACAUUACUCACCACAUAAAUGAUAUAUAUAAAUAUAUAUACCAAAAAAAAAAAAAAAGCUUAGAAGUUAGAAGAAAUAACUAGAGAGGAAGACUGACCCAGCGCGGGAGACGGGGCCAUGAUAAUGAAAAUCAAGAGGAAGCACAAAAUUUUGAUAAGAGAGGAGGAGGAGGAGGAGGAGGGAGGAGAAAGCGGUUUUGCCAUUGCUUUGAGUUAUUUCAAGCGCCUUCCUAUUUUUUCAUGUCUAUCUAUAUAUAAGCACCACAAGAUCAUUAGUCAUAACAUUGUAUGAACACCACCAACAAUCAUUGUUCUCAAUUACUUGUGACGCAACACCCGUGACUCUGGCCUCUGGCUUUUGAACGGUUCAACCCCGGAAUGCGAGAGAGACUGGCUUAAUGAGUGAAUCCCCCCAAGUCCUCUCACAUCAAUGUCGUCCCGUUCAAACUCGUGCGCCACCCUUUUUCGACCAAAAGUAAAAACUCGGGCCCCUUUCUCCAACUACUUCCAAGAUAUUGAUUACACGUAUCACAAAAAAAGUCAGAGAUCUAUUGUACGGGCUGGCUCCGUUUCUUAAGAUAUCCAAGCCUAAUAUUUGGAUAAGCUCUCCUGUUCACCUUGACUAGGGCCUCACUCGUUCAUUAAGUUCGUUCAUGCGAAAUCAUGACUGCUUCCAUUUUCUUCCCACUUGCCUUUCUCUUUUGUUAAAUUCCAAACAUCUAAGGCUUCGCGCGUGGUCAAUUUGGUGAGGAAGAUUAGCACUGAUUUGCGCAAUUAGUGUUAAUUUAUAGAAGGAACUAUAGUAAGCACGUUAGUGGCUGGCCAUGUGUUUCAGCGCGCAGCUGAAUAUGGUUAAGACCUAUAAAUGCAAAAACGUGUAUCCAGCAAAAACCUAGUGCUUUGCCAAUUAGUCCUUGUUGCUUUCAAGCCACUCAAGUUUAUAGGUUUUAUGAAAGUCAAUUUUCCAUCUCCCACUAGAAGAGAAAACUACCAUAUAUAUUUUUCAUUUUUUUCAUGAAAAAAAAGAAGGAAUUUCAUCCAAUUUUUGAAAAUGUGAUUGGAAUUCAUCCUCCAUUUCCUGUAUAAAAUAAGUUUAAUGAAUAUCAUUUGAUGAGAUCUAAUGGAAGAAUGUGUAAAAUCUUCAUUUAUUGGAAUGACUUAUCAAUUAGAUCCCGUGUUCAAAUCAGUUGCUCGUCAUUCAUACUUGUAUCUCAACCAAUACCGAAUCACCGAUGCUAUCGAAUUUUCCUUUUUCAAUGCUACUAAAGAUUUGAAGUUCAUUUGGUCGAUAGUGCAUAUAAAUUUUAUUUUACUCUUAGAUAUUUCUCCUUUCCUUUUUUUUUUUCAUUUUUUUUUCACUAGUGAUUUAGGAACUUACCAACUAAUAGAGAAACAGAUACAAAGCUGAAAAUUCACAAGUGUGCAUGCUAAGUCAAAUUCUAAUUUCAACAAGAAAUUAUGACAUUUUACCUUUUAUUUCUGAAUAUUGUUGAAACCUAUCUUUGCUAAAAAAAUUUAAGCUUAUGAGUGAUAAGUUAACAAUGAUAUAUUAAUUUUUGGAAAUAUGACAGUUAAGAUGAAGAGGUUAGUGUUGGUAGUUGUUUGUAAAACAAACUAAGAAGUUCUUGGUCUCAUACUGAAAAGAUAUGAGUGAUGGCUACAAAUUAAGAGGUUACUUCUUCCAUAUCGAUAAGGUAUGAGUGACAGUUAUUUUUUCCAAUGAUUAUUUUUGUAUUUAUCAUUAUCAUUAUUAUUAUUAUUAUUAUUAUUAUUAUUAUUAUUAUUAUUAUUAUUAUUAUUAUUAUUAUUAUUAUUAUUAUUAUUAUUAUUAUUAUUAUUAUUAUUAUUAUUAUUAUUAUUAUUAUUAUUAUUAUUAUUAUUAUUAUUAUUAUUAUUAACUUUGCCUAAUAGUUAUUAGGUGCUCUUACAACCUUUGGAAGGUUCUUUUCAUUCAGACAUAACUUCUUAACCUUUGAAGGGUUGUAUCCAUUCAAACAUAUUUAUUCCCUAAUAUGUAUUCAACAUUUUUGUUUACUAUUUUUCACUCUUCCAUUUUUCGUUUCUCUCAAAAAAAAGAUAUACGGCCUUCUUUUCAAUUGUUUCCCUUUUAAAAGUUCUUGGAAAAAUACUAUAAUUGCUAUAUGGUAUUCUUGCUUGAGAAUUUAUUGUAUCUUGAAGGAUUUUUUCCAGUAACCAUUAGCAAUAUCGUAGAGCAAAUAAUUCUUUAAAGAUAGUGUAUUCAUUCCUCAAAAUCAUAUUCUAUUCUUCUCGAUCAAUUUUUUCCCAACAAUUUUAAGGAAUUAUGUAUGCGACAAUGGAGUUAAAAUCAAUCAAAGUUAUCAAUCAAUACAUGGUGAGAUUGGACUAGUUUGAUGGAGACGAAUUUGCUCGUUGGAGGGACCAGAUGAUGUUUCUUCUCACUAUUUUGAAGAUUUCCUACAUACUGAUCCCAAUUUGACGCCUAUAGGACAUCCGAAAGGAGGACGGCUAAGCGUAGAAGACACUAAAAGGGCCAACAAAGAAUAGAAAAAACGUGAAUAUGAUGAAUUGCAUUGUCGUGGGCACAUUCCGAACACACCAUAUGAUCGUCUAUAAGACUUAUUCACUAAGAUGAAGUCUCUGGAGACAUAGGGAAUGUACUUCAAUUCAAAAACUAAGCGGAGGAGCAAGGUACCAAUAAUUAUUCGAUUGUAAAGCAUUUUGAUUUUAAAUUUAUCGAUACAAAACCCUUGUUGGAGUAAUUCCAUGAAUUGUAUGUGCUUGUCAACAAAAUUCGUUCCCUCAAGAUUGACAUUCCAGAAUUCUUUCAAGUAGGAGUGAUUAUUGCAAAAUCGUCUCCAAAUUGACAAGAUUAUGGAAAAAGGUUGCCGGAUCUAGGCGAGGCUCGAUCUCGUUAUCGCUGAGUGUUAUACCAAAAGAUUUGUGUAUCACUGGGUGGGUUAUGGACCAAAAGCAUUCACAUGAAAUUUAUGGUUCACUUGCCUGCCGCCUGGAAAUCAGGCUCUCAAGCUACUCCACCGCCAAUCAUGGAGGAUGUGAACUAUCGCUAUUGAAUCAACUUGUGCACAUUCAGAUGUUGAUGUGUUACUUCAAUUUGGCACCCCGCCCACACCCUUGAACUAAGCGUGCGCGAUAUGAUAAUGCGGAAGACCAAAAGCUCUUCUUGUAUAAUUGGAAUUCAACCAAUCUCACUCACAACCCACGCAAAGAGAGUUUUGAGGACUAUUAAGACCAUUGUAUUUCCAUGGGUUCUUUGUUCUUUGAUCCACGUCUAGUGGACAAUUCUAACGCAUAAUACACAUAUUUCUGUGGUGAAAAAUCACAAAUUUCGAAUAAGAUGGCCCAUGUCGUAAGAAUAGUAAUGUUUAAACACGGGUUCCAUCAGUCCAUACUAAACCAAAGGACAUCCUUAAUAUAAUUUCCAAGUGAAUCAAUGGAGUGAAAGCCACGUGCUUGAGAUCGAGAAAUAAGCAUAUCAACUCAUCAAAGAUUCAAAAGAAUCUGUUCUAGAACUUCAAAGCUGAAAAAUCCGCGAAUAGACCAAUGUAGAGAUCUUUAUAUUCUUGCAGUUACACGCUACUUCCAAGCAUCAAAAUGUCCUCCAUAAUCUUAAUUUAGACCGAGGCUUUCUUAUACAUUGAUGGAUAACUAAAUAUAAAGGGGUUUGCAAUUCAUAUGAUCCGCUAUUAUGCGUCUCUAAGCCUUGAGGACAUUUUAUUCUUUAUAAAUUGGCUGUGAGCUUCCAUCGUCAUUCAAGUUACGGACGUCCUAUAAUAAACAUCAUGUUAAAGCAAAUAUGUUUAUGUUAGCAUUUUUAGAAAUUCAUCGUACAUUAAUACACACUAGAAACAUUUAGGUACUUUCAUAGCGUAAUUUUAAUCCAUUUAAGUUAAUCACCACAUAUGCCUAACGUUAUGAAUUUCCUCAUUUUGAUAUAACUUCUGAUGUGGUUAUUGAUUUGAAGGGACAAGAAUGUCAUCUUCCGAGAGUAACCAUAAAUAUCUCUUGACAUACUCUUUGUGAAAGGAAGGAAGUACUUGCUACAUCCCUGGCUCUUGUUUAGGUCAUGUGGUUUGCUAUCAUUUUUUUUUUUUUUUUGUCACGGUUUCACUAGCACUUGCAUCAUCCAUAAUUUGCUAAAUUUUACUUAAAUCCAUUCACAAACUCGUCAAUGCUAUUAAAGUGCCAAUUACCAAAUCAGCCUUUGGGAUUUGAUAUUUCGAAAAAGUGAAACAUAAUUCAAAUCGCAAUGAUUUAGAUAUUUGAACAACUACCGAAUUGAACUCACAUACACAAGAUACACAAGAUAAAUCAUAUAACUAAUGUUCGACUACACAUCUAUCUAUGACUUGUAUGUAUUUCCAAGGCAACGAGCCUAGGAGCAAGAAGAAAUAACUAGAGAGGAAGAUUGACCACCGCAUUGGGGGCUACUCAACUCGUGCGAGCAGGUGAAGGGUCAUGAAAAUCAAGAGAAAGCAUAACAUUCUGAUAAGAGAGGAGUAGGAGGAGGGAGAAAGCAGUUUUGCCAUUGCUUUGAGUUAUUUCGAGCGCUUUCCUAUUUUUGCAUGUCUAUGUAUAUAUAACCACCGCAAGAAUCAUUAGUCCGUAUGAACAACAACGUCGUAUUGAAUUACUUGGGACGCAACGCCUGUGACUCUGGGCCUCUCUGGCCUUUGAAUAGGUCAACAGCUAAAUACGUCAAAGACGGGCUGAAAGAGUUAACCCCGCCAAGUGCUCUCGCGUCAAUCUCAUCCCGUUUAACCUCGGGCCACGUUCACAAAGCACUCCCAAAACACUAUUAGUUUGAUCUUAUAUAACAAAAGAACAUCCUUUUUUUUUCUUUUUUUUUUCCCAAAAUAUUGAUUAUAUAUAUCAUAGAAGAAAAAAAAGAAGAAGCCGAGAUCUAGUGAUAUUAAAAAUAAAAAAUUGAACCGUUCAAACUGAAAAUUUCAAGUCGGAUUUCCUUACGUUUCAAGUAAUAAGUAAAAUAAUGGAUUUCUCACCGUUCGGUUUGGUCACAAAGUCAACCCGAAACACCAAAUUAAAUGAAAGAAUGAUGGUGCAAUCUGCACCACGUAUUUUGCCAAGGACUUUGGAUGACUUGCUUGUCUAGUCCAGUAGGAUAUCAAGAAGGAUCCCUCUCAGUGAAAAAGACAUUGGCUACUAGAGGCCGUCACAUCUGACUUUUGCUAUUACUAUGUAUUACUCUCCUUUGCUCCCGCUGCUCUAUUUCAAUUUCUUCUCUCAAUGGAAAUGAAAGAAAUAAAUGAACAAAGCAUAGAAAACAUAAAACAAAAAAUCUCAGGUUGGUCGCAAUUUUAGAGUGUCAAAUAAAACUAUUCUUAUUGAUGAAGAAGAAGAAAUAAACUCCCUUCACCUUUUUGAUUUCAAUCACACCAACGAACUUAGAAAAGACAAAAAAAAAUUCUUCCCUUCUCAAUCUCCAAACUUUGAAAUUGUGUUCUAAUAGACUUGUAUGAUCUCAAAAUUUACAUAAAGAAAAAAAAAUCAUAUGUAUUUCCCCAGGCUUGAAUAGCUCUACAAAAAAUUAGAAAAGAAUAGCAAAAAAUAAUGGAAGAAAACGAACGCUAGCCAAUAAUUUCCUCGAGUCCAGAGAGAGAGAGAGAGAGAGAGAGAGAGAGAGAGAGAGAGAGAGAAUUAAACGAGAGAGUGAUUGUGCAAUCUGCACCACAUAUUUUGUCGAAAACCUUGGAUGACUUGCUUGUUUGGUCCAGUGGGAUAUCAAGAAAAAUCCCCAUCGGUGAAAAAGACAUUGGCUAAUUGAGGCCGUCAUGUUUGACUUUUACUAUUACUUUGCAUUACUCUACUUUGCUCCCGCUGCUCUCUUUCAAUUUCUUCUCUUAAUGGAAAAUGAAAGAAAUAAAUGAACCAAGCACAGAAAACAUAAAACAAAAAAUUCAAGUUGGUCGCCACUUAAGAGUGCCAAAUGAAACUAUUCUUAUUGACGAAUAAGAAGAAAUAAACUCCCCUCACCUUUUUUUUUUUUUUUAUUUCAAUCACGCCAACAAACUCAAAAAAGACAAAAAAAACACAGCUUCUUCCCUUCUCAAUCUCUCAACUUAGAAAUUGUAUUCUAAGUCUAUAAACUUGUAUAAUCUCAGAUACAUAAACAAAGAAAAAUCAUAUGUAUUUCCCCUAGCUUGAAUAGCUCGACAAAAAAUCAGAAAAUAACAGCAAAAAUUAAUGGAAUAAAAUGAACGCUAGCCAAUAAUUUCCUCGAGCCGAGACUAAGAGAGAGAGAAUUAAAUGAAAGAGUGAUGGUGCAAUCUGCACCACAUAUUUUGCUGAAGACCUUGGAUGACUUGCUUGUUUGGUCCAAUAUGAUAUCAAGAAGGAUCCCCCUCAGUGAAAAAGACAUAGGCUACUUGAGGCCGCUACGUCCGACUUUUGCUAUUACUUUGCAUUGCUCUACUCUGCUCCCAUUACUCUAUUGCCGGCUUGUCCAAUUUUCAACCCUCCAUCUGCCGUUGUCUCCAUCGUCGCCUUUGAUCCCAUCGAAGAUGCCGUCGUCUCCGUCGUUGCCUUCAAUCCCGUUGGAUUUGCCAGUGUCAUGGCCUCUACCGUCAUCUUCACUAGUGAUUUAGGAACUUACCAAGUAAUAGAGAGAAACAGAUACAAAGCUGAAAAUUCACAAGUGUGCAUGCUAAGUCAAAUUCUUAUUUCAACAAUAAAUUAUGACAUUUUACCUUUUAUUUCUGAAUAUUGUUUUUUUUUGGUAAAGUUAUUUCUGAAUAUUGUUGAAACCUAUCUUCACUAAAAAAUUUAAGCUCAUGAGUGAUAAGUCAACAAUGAUAUAUUAAUUUUUGGAAAUAUGACAGUUAAGAUGAAGAGGUUAGUGUUGGUAGUUGUUUGUAAAACAAACUAAGAAGUUCUUGGUCUCAUACUGAAAAGAUAUGAGUGAUGGCUACUAAUUAAGAGAUUACUUGUUCCAUAUCGAUAAGGUAUGAGUGACAGUUAUUGUUUCCAAUGAUUAUUUAUUUAUUUAUUUAUUUAUUAUUAUCAUCAUCAUCAUUAUUUACUUUGCCUAAUAGUUAUUAGUUGCUCUUACAACAUUUGGAAGGUUCUUUUCAUUCGGACAUAACUUCUUAACCUUUGAAAGGUUGUAUCCAUUCAAACCUAUUUAUUCCCUAAUAUGUAUUCAACAUUUUUGUUUAUUAUUUUCCACUCUUCCAUUUUUCGUUUCUCUAAAAAAAAAAGAUAUACGGCCUUCUUUUCAAUUGUUUCCCUUUUAAAAAUUUCUUGGAAAAAUACUAUAAUUACUAUAUGGUAUUCUUGCUGGAGAAUUUAUUGUAUCUUGAAGAAUUUUUUCCAAUAACCAUUAGCAAUAUCGUGGAGCAAAUAAUUCUUUAAAGAUAGUGUAUUCAUUCCUCAAAAUCAUAUUCUAUUCUUCUCGAUCAAAUUUUUCCCAACAAUUUUAAGGAAUUAUGUAUGCAACGAUGGAGUUAAAAUCAAAGUUAUCAAUCAAUACAUGGUGAGAUUGGACUAGUUUGAUGGGGACGAAUUUGCUCAUUGGAGGGACAAGAUGAUGUUUCUUCUCACUAUUUUGAAGAUUUCCUACAUACUGAAUCCCAAUUUGACGCCUAUAGGACAUCCGAAAGGAGGAUGGCUAAGCGUAGAAGACAAUAAAAGGGCCAACAAAGAAUAGAAAAAACAUGAAUAUGAUGAAUUGCAUUGUCAUGGGCACAUUCCGAACACACCAUUUGAUCGUCUAUAAGACUUAUUCACUAAGAUGAAGUCUCUAGAGACAUAGGGAAUGUACUUGAAUUCAAAAACUAAGCGGAGGAGCAAGGUACCGAUAAUUAUUCGAUUGUAAAGCAUUUUGAUUUUAAAUUUAUUGAUACAAAACCCUUGUUGGAGUAAUUCCAUGAAUUGUAUGUGCUUGUCAACAAAAUUCGUUCUCUCAAGAUUGACAUUCCAGAAUGCUUUCAAGUAGGAGUGAUUAUUGCAAAAUCGUCUCCAAAUUGACAAGAUUAUGGAAAAAGGUUGCCGGAUCUAGGCGAGGCUCGAUCUCGUUAUCGCUGAGCGUUAUACCAAAAGAUUUGUGUAUCACUGGGUGGGUUAUGGACCAAAAGCAUUCACAUGAAAUUUAUGGUUCACUUGCCUGCCGCCUGGAAAUCAGGAUCUCAAGCUACUCCACCGCCAAUCAUGGAGGAUGUGAACUGUCGCUAUUGAAUCAACUUGUGCACAUUCAGAUGUUGAUGUGUUACUUCAAUUUGGCACCCCGCCCACACCCUUGAACUAAGCGUUGAACUAGGCAUGCGCAAUAUGAUAAUGCGGAAGACCAAAAGCUCUUCAACCAAUCUCACUCACAACCCACGCAAAGAGGGUUUUGAGGACUAUUAAGACCAUUGUAUUUCUAUGGGUUCUUUGUUCUUUGAUCCACGUCUAGUGGACAAUUCUAACGCAUAAUACACAUAUUUCUGUUGUGAAAAAUCACAAAUUUCGAAUGAGAUGGCCCAUGUCGUAAGAAUAGUAAUGUUUAAACACGGGUUCCAUGAAACUAAUCGUACGAUUAUUACAUCCUUAAUAUAAUUUCCAAGUGAAUCAAUGGAGUGAAAGCCACGUACUUGAGAUCGAGAAAUAAGCAUGUCAACUCAUCAAAGGAUUCAAAAGAAUCUGUUCUAGAACUUCAAAGCAGAAAAAUCCGCGAAUAGAUUAAUGCAGAGAUCUUUAUAUUCUUGCAGUUGCACGCUACUUCCAAGCAUCGAAAUGUUCUCCAUAAUCUUAAUUUAGACCGAGGCUUUCUUAUACAUUGAUGGAUAACUAGAGAUAAAGAGGUUUGCGAUUCAUAUGAUCCGCUAUUAUGCGUCUCUAAGCCUUGCCAGGACAUUUUAUUCUUUAUAACUUGGCUGUGAGCUUCCAUCGUCAUUCAAGUCAAGGA